rnacentral:rRNA from 1 species
AGUGAACGUUGGCGGCGUGGAUUAGGCAUGCAAGUCGAGCGAUCGUAGCAAUACGGGAGCGGCAAACGGGGUAGGAAUACAUCGGAACGUACCUUUUGGUUGAGAAUAGCGUUGGGAAACUGACGGUAAUACUCAAUAAAGUCGAGAGACCAAAGGUUUACUGCCGGAAGAGCGGCCGAUGCGAUAUUAGGUAGUUGGUGGGGUAAUGGCCUACCAAGCCUGAGAUGUCUAGGGGUGUGAGAGCAUGGCCCCACCACUGGGACUGAGAUACUGCCCAGACACCUACGGGUGGCUGCAGUCGAGGAUCUUCGUCAAUGGGCGAAAGCCUGAACGAGCGACGCCGCGUGCGGGAUGAAGGCCCUUGGGUUGUAAACCGCUGUCAGGGGGGAUGAAACCGUAAGGUUGACAGAGCCCCAGAGGAAGCACGGGCUAAGUUCGUGCCAGCAGCCGCGGUAAU